AUUAUCUAGACAUUUAGCUAUAUUAUAUACGAAGUUUUGCCCGGAUUUGUACUGAUGGGACAUUACGGCAAGUUGUUUAGUUUUCUUACCUCCAAAUUCCAAAAUUAAGUUCAGUGCUCACAUCUCCCUGAAGCUUAUUGUUUUUAUUUCCUCCAAACCUUCACUGUGACGAUGACUUUUCUCAUUCUUCAUCAACGUCGAUAGCAACUCUUAAAAUCCUUCUCCACCAAUCUCCUCUUAAUCUCAUCUUUGUCAUCUGACAAUGAUAUAUUAAUAUACUAAGAAUAAAAGUUAACUGUUACCGGUUAAUACUUAAUAGUCAUGUUAUCUGGAUAUGGAACCAAUAACGAGUCUUUAAGAAAUAUGUAACAAUUGUAAGACCACCAACAAAAAUCUAAUCAAUACUAUACAUACUUGUUAAUAUUCAUUAUUUAGUAUUAAAUCAUAUAUAAGCUAAGAAAUCUUGUAUCAUAACAUGUAC